AACGAACGCUGGCGGCAUGCCUAACACAUGCAAGUCGAACGAGACCUUCGGGUCUAGUGGCGCACGGGUGCGUAACGCGUGGGAACCUGCCCUUAGGUUCGGAAUAACUCCCCGAAAGGGGUGCUAAUACCGGAUAAUGUCUUCGGACCAAAGAUUUAUCGCCUUUGGAUGGGCCCGCGUUGGAUUAGCUAGUUGGUAUGGUAAAAGCCUACCAAGGCGACGAUCCAUAGCUGGUCUGAGAGGAUGAUCAGCCACACUGGGACUGAGACACGGCCCAGACUCCUACGGGAGGCAGCAGUGGGGAAUAUUGGACAAUGGGCGAAAGCCUGAUCCAGCAAUGCCGCGUGAGUGAUGAAGGCCUUAGGGUUGUAAAGCUCUUUUACCCGGGAUGAUAAUGACAGUACCGGGAGAAUAAGCUCCGGCUAACUCCGUG
rnacentral:rRNA from 1 species